rnacentral:tRNA from 1 species
GCGGGAAUAGCUCAGCUGGUAGAGCUCCAGCCUUCCAAGCUGGUUGUCGCGGGUUCGAGUCCCGUUUCCCGCUCCA